rnacentral:pre_miRNA from 1 species
UUACUACUUCCUCCGUUCGGAAUUACUUGUCGCGAAAAUGGAUGUAUCUAGAUGUAUUUUAGUUCUAGAUACAUCCAUUUCCGAGACAAGUAAUUCCGAACGGAGGGAGUAUUUG